AUUGAACGCUGGCGGCAGGCUUAACACAUGCAAGUCGAGCGAGCGGCGGACGGGUGAGUAAUGUCUGGGAAACUGCCUGAUGGAGGGGGAUAACUACUGGAAACGGUAGCUAAUACCGCAUACGAUCAGAAGUGCCCAGAUGGGAUUGGCUAGUAGGUGGGGUAAUGGCUCACCUAGGCUACGAUCCCUAGCUGGUCUGAGAGGAUGACCCGCCACACUGGACCUGGACCACGAGCCAGACUCCCACGGGCGGCAGCAGUGGGGAAUGUUGCACAAUGGGCGCAAGCCUGAUGCAGCCAUGCCGCGUGUGUGAAGAAGGCCUUCGGGUUGUAAAGCACUUUCAGCGAGGGGGCGUUACUCGCAGAAGAAGCACCGGCUAACUCCGUGCCAGCAGCCGCGGUAAUAC
rnacentral:rRNA from 1 species